rnacentral:rRNA from 1 species
UUAGUUUGAUUCUACCUAAAAGAUUAAUGAUUUUUAAUAAAUCUUAUGCUUAAUUUAAAUAAAUAUUCUACCUCUUAAAGAAUGAUAACGUAUAUAACUAUGUUAUCAAAUAGCAGCGAUUAGUAUUAUACAAUGUGUUUACGCACGAAAUGGUUUAAAUAUCUUUGACGGCCUAACUCGUGCCAGCAGCAGCGGUUAUACAAUAGACAUUUAACAUAUAAAAUCUAUACAGGUAUUAUAAAAAUAAUAUAUUAGUCAAAUAUUUAUAUAUUUAGCUUUGAAUAUACCAUUUAAUAAACUAUAUACUAAAACAAGGAUUAGAUACCCUUUUAUUAUUAGUACAAAAAUAAGAUUGGAGACUAUAAGUAACAACUUUAAAACCCAAGAAUUUGGCGGUGUCUUAUUCAAUCAGGGGGACCUGUUCAAUAAAUCGACAGUCCACGAAUAACAUACCUUAUUUUAAAUACUACAGCAUGUGUACUGCCGUCCAAUGGGCCCCUAUAGAUUCCUAUAAAUAAAUAAGUUUAUUUAUUAUACGUCAGGUCAAAGUGCAGUUAAUAAUAAGGAUGAUAUGGGUUUCAAGCUAUAACAUAGUCUGAUUAAUAGCUUAAGAUUGUUUUAGAGAAGAACUUGAUAGUAAUUAUAUUAGUGUUAUAAUGAAAAUGAACUUAAGAUAAGCACAUAUCGCCCGUCACUCCUUUAUAUAGGAUAAGUCGUAACAUAGUAGGAGUAAUGGAAAUUGCAUCUAU